rnacentral:rRNA from 1 species
GUCAGCAGCCAUAUCACCCUGCAACACAACUGGCAGCCCACUGAAGCUAAGCAGGUGUGAGCCUGAUCAGUACCUGGAUGGGAGACCUCCUGGGAAAAACUAAGAUUGCUAUUG